rnacentral:rRNA from 1 species
GUGGGGAAUCUUAGACAAUGGGCGCAAGCCUGAUCUAGCCAUGCCGCGUGAGCGAUGAAGGCCUUAGGGUUGUAAAGCUCUUUCGCUGGGGAAGAUAAUGACUGUACCCAGUAAAGAAGCCCCGGCUAACUCCGUGCCAGCAGCCGCGGUAAUACGGAGGGGGCUAGCGUUAUUCGGAAUUACUGGGCGUAAAGCGCACGUAGGCGGACCAGAAAGUCAGGGGUGAAAUCCCGGGGCUCAACCCCGGAACUGCCCUUGAAACUCCUGGUCUUGAGUUCGAGAGAGGUGAGUGGAAUUCCGAGUGUAGAGGUGAAAUUCGUAGAUAUUCGGAGGAACACCAGUGGCGAAGGCGGCUCACUGGCUCGAUACUGACGCUGAGGUGCGAAAGCGUGGGGAGCAAACAGGAUUAGAAACCCCUGUAGUCC